rnacentral:lncRNA from 1 species
AUGGCUUGGUGCCAUGAUUGCAGGAGAACUGUUGAAAAGAGUCUGGCUCCCACUGUCGCUCUAGCCAUGCAAUGCUGCUCCCCUCUGCCUUCCACCAUGAGUGGAAGCGUCCUGAGGCCUCCCCAAAAGCAGACGCUGGAGCCAUGCUCUGUGUACAAUCUGCAGAACCGUGAACGAAAUAACCUCUUUUCUUUAGAAAUUACCAUUUCCAGUAUCCCUUCACAGCAACUCAAUCAGACGGAGACCCUGAGUACCCACUGUACAGAACCAUGGUGGGAGAGGGUGGAGAGGAAAGGCAGUCACACAGCAACAUCAGGGCCCAGGAUCAACGUGGAAUCCCAUCACCUUUGGAUUUCUUGUUACAUAAGUCAGUCCAUGGAUGAAAGAGCGUGUCAGAGACGUCAUAUUUUUCUGGCUGAAUAUUCUUGACAAUGUGAAGUCAUACUGCAGAAUCCAAUCGCCGAGUUGGGUUGGAUGUUUCAUUCUGAAAAGUGCUGCGAAUCUGACCCUCUCUGCUCCAGUCAAGGACUCAGUGGAGUUGCUACUUUAGGACAUUCUCAAAGCAUUGGAAGAGCCAAGUGUUGAUAGGCGGCACACGGUGACAAGGAGGGUCUAGAUCACCAUUAUAGACACUUCACAAAUAAUUGGUUGUUUUAACUGUUCUAUGCAGCCGAGUCCAAAACUCAAGACUCAAGUCUAAUUUAAAGACAUUGAUUGAAAUAGGUUAUCAAAUUGACUUUACUUCUUCAUCACAGAAUGACGUAAGAAAGCAGAAUAUGGGGGAAAACGCUCUAAAAAUCUAGCAAGCCAUUCCAUUCAACCCAUUUCUUCAGACUCUCCCAUGGCUGAAAUCUCAGUGGCAAUCCCCUGACCACCAGGAGGGCAGCAACUGCAUCUCUAGCCACAUGCCUUUGAUUGUGUAGCUGUCAUUUCCAGCAACUGCACAAGGGCAGGCUGCAGCUGCUCUAGAUCAAGGACACCCUCAGCUGGCCCAGGAGGAAGUUCCCCAAGAGGCUUUCAUGGCCAUCCCAUAAUAGACACCAACUCAAAUUCCCCUGUGAACUAGGGUCGCUGUCCAGCACACCAUCACCACAGCAUGCCUCCAAGCAGAGGACACUCCAUACCUCUUCCAAAUUAACGGCACAGCUAACAUACAGUAGUGGGACUCUAAUCAGUCCCCACUUAUGCAUUCAUCCCUGAGUAGUAAAAGAGCUGUAGUAGCAAUUUGAUAUCAGCACUAAGACUAAAGCCUCAUUCUCUGAAGCACAUGUUAUAACUGGAAUGUCACCUUCCUGAUUGGGGAAGAUUAUUUUCAAACCUCGCAGUCCUUUCUGCUCUCUGAAUUCUCCCAUUCUCUUCCUGACUGAUGAAUGCCAAGUUUAUUUCCUGGUUUUGGUACUGCAUGAAUUCUCCUGAAACUGGGAUAACCCUCUGUAAU